AUUGAACGCUGGCGGCAGGCCUAACACAUGCAAGUCGAACGGUAACAGGAAACAGCUUGCUGUUUCGCUGACGAGUGGCGGACGGGUGAGUAAUGUCUGGGAAACUGCCUGAUGGAGGGGGAUAACUACUGGAAACGGUAGCUAAUACCGCAUAACGUCGCAAGACCAAAGAGGGGGACCUUCGGGCCUCUUGCCAUCGGAUGUGCCCAGAUGGGAUUAGCUAGUAGGUGGGGUAACGGCUCACCUAGGCGACGAUCCCUAGCUGGUCUGAGAGGAUGACCAGCCACACUGGAACUGAGACACGGUCCAGACUCCUACGGGAGGCAGCAGUGGGGAAUAUUGCACAAUGGGCGCAAGCCUGAUGCAGCCAUGCCGCGUGUAUGAAGAAGGCCUUCGGGUUGUAAAGUACUUUCAGCGGGGAGGAAGGGAGUAAAGUUAAUACCUUUGCUCAUUGACGUUACCCGCAGAAGAAGCACCGGCUAACUCCGUGCCAGCAGCCGCGGUAAUACGGAGGGUGCAAGCGUUAAUCGGAAUUACUGGGCGUAAAGCGCACGCAGGCGGUUUGUUAAGUCAGAUGUGAAAUCCCCGGGCUCAACCUGGGAACUGCAUCUGAUACUGGCAAGCUUGAGUCUCGUAGAGGGGGGUAGAAUUCCAGGUGUAGCGGUGAAAUGCGUAGAGAUCUGGAGGAAUACCGGUGGCG
rnacentral:rRNA from 1 species